rnacentral:rRNA from 1 species
GUACACACCGCCCGUCACGCCAUGAGAGUUGUUUGUACCCAAAGUCAUCUUAACUAACUCGAAAGAGAGGUGGAUGCCUAAGGUAUGAACAAUGAUUGGGGCGAAGUCGUAACAAGGUAGCCGUAGGUGAACCUGCAGAAGGAUCA